GUAGGGAAUAUUGGACAAUGGGCGAAAGCCUGAUCCAGCAACGCCGCGUGGAUGACGAAGCAUCUUGGUGUGUAAAAUCCUGUCAGUGGGGACGAAACGUAGAGGUAGGAAAUGACCUCUGCUUGACUGUACCCGCAGAGGAAGUUCCGGCCAACUCCGUGCCAGCAGCCGCGGUAAUACGGGGGGAACGAGCGUUGUUCGGAUUUACUGGGCGUAAAGGGCACGCAGGUGGGAAAAUAAGUCAGAUGUGAAACCCCAAAGCUUAACUCUGGGACUGCAUUUGAUACUGUUUUUCUUGAGUACGAGAGAGGAUGGCAGAAUUCUUGGUGUAGCGGUGAAAUGCGUAGAUAUCAAGAAGAAUACCGGUGGCGAAGGCGGCCAUCUGGCUCGAUACUGACGCUCAGGUGCGAAGGUCGGGGGAGCAAACAGGAUUAGAAACCCUAGUAGUCC
rnacentral:rRNA from 1 species